rnacentral:rRNA from 1 species
AGUGAACGCUGGCGGUAGGCCUAACACAUGCAAGUCGAACGGCAGCACAGUAAGAGCUUGCUCUUACGGGUGGCGAGUGGCGGACGGGUGAGGAAUACAUCGGAAUCUACUUUUUCGUGGGGGAUAACGUAGGUAAACUUACGCUAAUACCGCAUACGACCUACGGGUGAAAGCAUGGGAUCUUCGGACCUUGCGCGAUUGAAUGAGCCGAUGUCGGAUUAGCUAGUUGGCGGGUUAAAGGCCCACCAAGGCGACGAUCCGUAGCUGGUCUGAGAGGAUGAUAAGCCACACUGGAACUGGGCCACGGUCCAGACUCCUACGGGAGGCCGCAGUGGGGAAUAUUGGACAAUGGGCGCAAGCCUGAUCCAGCCAUACCGCGUGGGUGAAGAAGGCCUUCGGGUUGUAAAGCCCUUUUGUUGGGAAAGAAAAGCAGCAGGUUAAUACCACGCUGUUCUGACGGUAACCAAAGAAUAAGCACCGGCUAACUUCGUG